GUGCUCACUUCAUCAGCACACAUACUAAAAUUGGACUGAUACAGAGAAGAUUAGCAUGGCCCCAGAGCAAGGAUGACAUGCAAAUUUGUGAAGCAUUCCAUAUUUAA